GAUGAACGCUGGCUACAGGCUUAACACAUGCAAGUCGAGGGGAAACGACGGGGAAGCUUGCUUCCCCGGGCGUCGACCGGCGCACGGGUGAGUAACGCGUAUCCAACCUGCCUCUGACUGAGGGAUAACCCGUCGAAAGUCGGCCUAAUACCUCAUGGCAUCGUCUGCGGGCAUCCAACGACGAUUAAAGAUUUCAUCGGUCAGAGAUGGGGAUGCGUCUGAUUAGCUUGUUGGCGGGGUAACGGCCCACCAAGGCGACGAUCAGUAGGGGUUCUGAGAGGAAGGUCCCCCACAUUGGAACUGAGACACGGUCCAAACUCCUACGGGAGGCAGCAGUGAGGAAUAUUGGUCAAUGGGCGAGAGCCUGAACCAGCCAAGUAGCGUGCAGGAUGACGGCCCUAUGGGUUGUAAACUGCUAUUAUGCGGGGAUAAAGUGAGGGACGUGUCCUUCAUUGCAGGUACCGCAUGAAUAAGGACCGGCUAAUUCCGUG
rnacentral:rRNA from 1 species